rnacentral:rRNA from 1 species
AUCGAACGCUGGCGGCAUGCCUAACACAUGCAAGUCGAACGAGUGGCGGACGGGUGAGUAAUGUCUGGGAACCUGCCUAAUGGAGGGGGAAAACUACUGGAACCGGUAGCUACUACCGCAUACCCUCGGAUCUGCCCAGAUGGGAUUAGCUAGUAGGUGGGGUAAAGGCUCACAUAGGCGACGCUCCCUAGCUGGUCCGAGAGGAUGACCAGCAACACUGGAACUGAGACACGGUCCAGACUCCUCCGGGAGGCAGCAGUGGGGAAGAUUGCACAAUGGGCGCAAGUCUGAUGCAGCAAUGCGGCGUGUGUGAAGAAGGCCUUCGGGUUGUAAAGUACUUUCAGCGGGGAGGCGGUACCUGCAGAGGAAGCACCGGCUAACUCCGUGCCAGCAGCCGCGGUAAUUC